rnacentral:lncRNA from 1 species
GUGUAUUAGAUUACCUCUCUCAGGGUAGUGCGACAUGUUCUCCUUCUUAUGAUUUCGAGGCUUGUUAAGGAUUUUGAGAUGCACUUGUUUGUCAUCCUCGCGGACCCUUUUGUUCCUUUAUUUUAUGUUUUGUUCUAGUUAAGAAACCAAGACUACAACUUGUACUUACUUCUUAAUUCCACACUUUACGUAUUUAGUGGCUUGUACACGUGAC